CAGCCGCCACGGUAAUACGUAGGUGGCAAGCGUUGUCCGGAAUUAUUGGGCGUAAAGGGCUCGCAGGCGGUUUCUUAAGUCUGAUGUGAAAGCCCCCGGCUCAACCGGGGAGGGUCAUUGGAAACUGGGAAACUUGAGUGCAGAAGAGGAGAGUGGAAUUCCACGUGUAGCGGUGAAAUGCGUAGAGAUGUGGAGGAACACCAGUGGCGAAGGCGACUCUCUGGUCUGUAACUGACGCUGAGGAGCGAAAGCGUGGGGAGCGGACAGAAUUAGAUACCCCUGUAGUCCCUGUCUCUUAUAC
rnacentral:rRNA from 1 species